AAAGUUUGAUCCUGGCUCAAGACGAACGCUGGCGGCGCGCCUAACGCAUGCCAGUCAAACGAGAGAUGAAGAGCUUGCUCUUCACAUCGAGUGGACAACGGGUGAGUAUCGCGUGAGGAUCCUGCCUCAUAGAGGGGGACAACAGUUGGAUUCGACUGCUAAUACCGCAUAAGCCCACAGCUCGGCAUCGAGCAGGGGGAAAAGGAGUGAUCCGCUUUGAGAUGGCCUCGCGUCCGAUUAGCUAGUUGGUGAGGUAACGGCCCACCAGGGCGACGAUCGGUAGCCGGACUGAGAGGUUGAACGGCCACAUUGGGACUGAGACACGGCCCAGACUCCUACGGGAGGCAGCAGUGGGGAAUAUUGCACAAUGGGGGAAACCCUGAUGCAGCGACGCCGCGUGGAGGAAGAAGGUCUUCGGAUUGUAAACUCCUGUUGUUGAGGAAGAUAAUGACGGUACUCAACAAGGAAGUGCCGGCUAACUACGUGCCAGCAGCCGCGGUAAAACGUAGGUCACAAGCGUUGUCCGGAAUUACUGGGUGUAAAGGGAGCGCAGGCGGGAGAACAAGUUGGAAGUGAAAUCCAUGGGCUCAACCCAUGAACUGCUUUCAAAACUGUUUUUCUUGAGUAGUGCAGAGGUAGGCGGAAUUCCUGGUGUAGCGGUGGAAUGCGUAGAUAUUGGGAGGAACACCAGUGGCGAAGGCGGCCUACUGGGCACCAACUGACGCUGAGGCUCGAAAGUGUGGGUAGCAAACAAGAUUAGAUACCCUGGUAGUCCUC
rnacentral:rRNA from 1 species